rnacentral:rRNA from 1 species
CCCUUAGAUGUUCUGGGCCGCACGCGCGCUACACUGUUUGAUUCAGCGAGUCUUAACCUUGACCGAAAGGUUUGGGUAAUCUUCUAAAGUCAAACGUGAUGGGGAUCGAUCAUUGCAAUUAUUGAUCGUGAACGAGGAAUUCCUAGUAAAUGCAAGUCAUCAGCUUGCGUUGAUUACGUCCCUGCCCUUUGUACACACCGCCCGUCGCUCCUACCGAUUGGGUGUGCUGGUGAAAUGUUCGGAUCGGCCGUUUGUCGCGGUUUCCGCGUCAUGUGGCUGAGAAGUUCAUUAAACCCUCCCACCUAGAGGAAGGAGAAGUCGUAACA